rnacentral:tRNA from 1 species
GCCUAGAUAGAUCAGUUGGGAGAGCGUUAGACUGAAGAUCUAAAGGUCCCCGGUUCGAUCCGGGUCUGGGCA